GUUUAGUGAAGUUAAAAAAAUCUAAGCGAAGUAGAUCGUCUUCCUCUAGCUCGUCCUCAGAGAGUUCCACACAAAGGAAGAUAAUUAGAAGGUUGAAAAGAAAGUUAAGUAGGCUGUCACAACAAGUACGGAAAAUGUUUAAUGGAACUCAGUGAGUUCUAUAAUUUUAUAAUUGUGGCAAGUAGUAUCUUGAUUUGGUUUUACAUGAUCCUGAUAAUAUUUUCGGAUUACUAUGAUUUAUGGGUAGCUAUUGCGGCAAAUCUAGUAUUCUGGCCAUUUUGUUGGGCAACUUUGUACGGCUGUGAGAUGCUAGAGGACGCUAGUAGAAGCUUAUCUAAUUCCCUCUAUACUAAUGUUCCAUGGUACGUGUGGAACUUGGAGAAUUUAAGAAUUUUUUUAAUCUUGCACCAAUACACUUCUCAUAGGAUAAUUCGAACACCAAUGUUUUCAUUUAUAACUUGUAAUGUACAAAUUAUUAAAUCCGUAAGAGUUGAAAAUUCAAAAUUUUUAAUGAUUAUACAAUUUCGUUUUUAGUUUGCUAAGGGGGCUUAUACUGCUUUUAACUUUUAUCGAUCUACUAGUACAUAC